rnacentral:rRNA from 1 species
AGUAACGCGUGGGUAACCUGCCUCAUACAGGGGGAUAACAGUUAGAAAUGACUGCUAACACCGCAUAAUAUAGCGAAACCGCAUGAUUUUGCUAUCAAAUAUUUAUAGGUAUGAGAUGGGCCCGCGUCUGAUUAGCUAGUUGGUGGGGUAAAAGCCUACCAAGGCGACGAUCAGUAGCCGGCUUGAGAGAGUGACCGGCCACAUGGGACUGAGACACGGCCCAAACUCCUACGGGAGGCAGCAGUGGGGAAUAUUGGACAAUGGGGGAAACCCUGAUCCAGCCGACGCCGCGUGAGUGAAGAAGUAUUUCGGUAUGUAAAGCUCUAUCAGCAGGGAAGAUAAUGACAGUACCUGACUAAGAAGCCCCGGCUAACUACGUGCCAGCCGCCGC